GCAUCGGUUUAGCUCAAUGGUUCCCUGUGCAUAAUUCUAUCUGACAGACCGCGGGUUCAAGGGUUCAACCAUGGGCGCUGUCCGAUGUUUUC
ensembl:vault_RNA Vault Vault RNA